rnacentral:rRNA from 1 species
AGUGAACGCUGGCGGUAGGCCUAACACAUGCAGGUCGAACGGCAGCACAGGAGAGCUUGCUCUCUGGGUGGCGAGUGGCGGACGGGUGAGGAAUACAUCGGAAUCUACUCUGUCGUGGGGGAUAACGUAGGGAAACUUGCGCUAAUACCGCAUACGACCUACGGGUGAAAGCAGGGGAUCUUCGGACCUUGCGCGAUUGAAUGAGCCGAUGUCGGGUUAGCUAGUUGGCGGGGUAAAGGCCCACCAAGGCGACGAUCCGUAGCUGGUCUGAGAGGAUGAUCAGCCACACUGGAACUGAGACACGGUCCAGACUCCUACGGGAGGCAGCAGUGGGGAAUAUUGGACAAUGGGCGCAAGCCUGAUCCAGCCAUACCGCGUGGGUGAAGAAGGCCUUCGGGUUGUAAAGCCCUUUUGUUGGGAAAGAAAUCCAGCUGGCUAAUACCCGGUUGGGAUGACGGUACCCAAAGAAUAAGCACCGGCUAACUUCGUGCCAGCAGCCGCCGUAA